CGCCAUUUCUACAAGUGCACAAAUCAUGGGGUCUGUGCUUGCAAUUUUCAUUUUUUUUUGUUUAAGCUUUGUUUGUUUGGUUUUGAAUUUUGCGUUCUCUUGUGUGUAUUGGUUCAGUCUUGGAAGGGUGUGUGUGACAUGUGGAAAUGGGAGGAUGAAUAUGAGGAUUUCUUGAAGAAUGGUUGUCAAGAUGUGCAAGAUCAGAGUGUGGGCAGUAGCUCAAUGCGAAGGACAUAUGCGGUGAAAGAGAAGAAGGAAGGAAUCAUGAAGAGGAAGAAGCAUUUCAUGACAGGUGGAGGCAGUGAUGUUGAGAGGCAUUUGGAGGAGAUUAUUUGGCUACUGAAAUGUGUGUUAUUUUCUCUAGGAUUGUUGGUUUUUCUGAUGUUUGUUUAUGUGAUCAAGCACUGAAUGAUGUGUGAGAGUGAGAAUGAAGUUGAGAGUGAGAAUUUGGAUGUGUGAGUUUGAUGUAAUAGUAGUUUGGAAGCAGUGAACUAAGUGAAAUAAAUUCAAAUUUGGGUUGUGUGUUGU
rnacentral:lncRNA from 1 species